AACGAACGCUGGCGGCAGGCUUAACACAUGCAAGUCGAACGCAUCCUUCGGGGUGAGUGGCAGACGGGUGAGUAACGCGUGGGAACGUGCCCUUCAGUUCGGGAUAACCCAGGGAAACUUGGGCUAAUACCGGAUACGUGCGAGAGCAGAAAGAUAUUAUCGCUGAAGGAUCGGCCCGCGUCUGAUUAGCUAGUUGGUGGGGUAAUGGCCCACCAAGGCGACGAACAGUAGCUGGUCUGAGAGGAUGAUCAGCCACAUUGGGACUGAGACACGGCCCAAACUCCUACGGGAGGCAGCAGUGGGGAAUAUUGGACAAUGGGCGCAAGCCUGAUCCAGCCAUGCCGCGUGAGUGAUGAAGGCCUUGGGGUUGUAAAGCUCUUUCGUCCGGGACGAUAAUGACGGUACCGGAAGAAGAAGCCCCGGCUAACUUCGUGCCAGCAGCCGCAGUAA
rnacentral:rRNA from 1 species